UGCUCCUACGGGGGGCAGCAGUGAGGAAUAUUGGUCAAUGGGCGCGAGCCUGAACCAGCCAAGUAGCGUGAAGGAUGACUGCCCUACGGGUUGUAAACUUCUUUUAUAAAGGAAUAAAGUGAGGCACGUGUGCCUUUUUGUAUGUAUUUUAUGAAUAAGGAUCGGCUAACUCCGUGCCAGCAGCCGCGGUAAUACGGAGGAUCCGAGCGUUAUCCGGAUUUACUGGGUGUAAAGGGCGUGUAGGCGGGAAUGCAAGUCAGAUGUGAAA
rnacentral:rRNA from 1 species